GAGUCCCAAAUAGGAGGAAAUGCGCAUCCUGGAU
rnacentral:hammerhead_ribozyme from 1 species